UUAAAGGUAGUUUAAAAAAAAUACGGGUUUUGGGGAUUCGUGAUAAGGAAUAACUUUCUUUAAA
rnacentral:tRNA from 1 species